CCAGUAGAGGAUCCGCUUGCAUCC
rnacentral:miRNA from 1 species